UCAGUAUACGCCGCGCUACUGCAAGGUUAGGAAGUCGUUGGCGAAGGCUUAAGGCCAAAAAAGUCCGUGGUUUUUAUCGAAAAUUAGUAUUUCUUUCAGUGUGGAAUUUCAAACUGCACCAUAGAUCUACCUAAAACGCAAUCGGUUGAAAAGGCCGUGUUCCCCUACUACAGUGCCGUUUCAGAGGUGAAAGGUCUACUGCCUGUGAAGUCUUAAAGACAGCGACUCUUCAGAACAGGUUAAUCUGAAGGAUUUUAAAAGCUGGCUGUUAUUUUCUAUAUGACUAAAAUCUGUGCUGCACAGUGAUGGGUUAUCUGUGGGCAUUAGCAAUGAAGGUUGCAGUGGAUGAUCUGAGGUGAUGUCAUUUCAGUCUUACAGCGCACUAACUGUAAGCGAUGUUAGAACAUUUACACAUUUUUGGAGAAAAUUCUUAUGGCAUGGAUGCACACCUCACCAGAAGCAAGGCAAAUCAGUUGGGAAGUUUUCAAGAUAACCAAAGGAUUAAGGAAUCUUCAAACAAUGCAGUGUCAAUGUUAUGGCAGAAUUUGUAUGGUUAUCCACAUUCCAUCCUGUUAACAAUAUUGAAGGCUGAACAUUUACUGCUUUUUUUACUUCUCUUAGUUUGAGCUAAUUCACUCCUG